UAUGCCUGUUCGCGGGUUAGGUAGUGGCAUGCCUGUUCGUGGGUUAGGUAGUGGCAUGCCACUACCUAACCCGCGAACAGGCAUA
rnacentral:miRNA from 1 species